UAAUACUAGCGGUCCAAGUCGCAGCCAUUUUUAUUGGGUCUAAAACAUCCGUAGCUUGUUUGAUAAGUUCUUUGUGAAAUCCUAUAUCUCAAGUAUAGAACGCGCAGAGAAUACUGUCAAGCUAGAGACUGGAAGACGUGAAAAGUACGAUUGAGGUAGCGGUAAAAUGUUUUAAUCUUAAUUGGACUAACAAGAGCGAAGGCAUUUCACGAGGACAGUUCUGACAGUAAGGGAUGAAGGCCAGGGGCGCAAAACGGAUUAGAUACCCGUGUAGUCCUGGCAGUAAACACUGCACACUAAACAUUAGUGCCUCCUCGAGAGGCAUUAGUGCUGUAGGGAAGCCGAAGAGUGUGCUACCUGGGAAGUAUAGUCGCAAGGCCG
rnacentral:rRNA from 1 species